GUUAGCUGUUAGGCUUUCUUUAAUGUAUUUACAAAUGAUUUUAGCAAAAUAAUUUUAUUUUAGCAAAAUAAUUUUUAUUGAAAGAUACAUUUAUUUCUUCAGUUUUUUUCAAAUAUUAUUGUUCUUAACAGUGCUUGGUGUGGUCCUGGGCAGAGAAUGAUGCUUAAAACAUGUAUUUGCUUUCUGGACUGAUUUAUACAGCCAACUGUUGGCAAUUUGUUUUCCCUUGGUUUCCUUAAUAAAAUAAGGGCCAGGCAAGGUGGCUUAUGCUUGUAAACUCCCAGUAGUUUGGGAGGCCAAGGCUGGUGGAUCACCUGAGGUCAAGAGUUUGGGACCAGCCUGACCAACAUGGUGAAACUCCAUCUCUACUAAAAAUACAAAUUAUUAGCCAGGCGUGGUGCACAUGCCUGUAAUCCCAACUACUCUGGAGGCUGAGGCAGGAGAAUCGCUUGAACCCGGGAGGAGGAGGUUGCAGUGAGCUGAGAUCGUGCCUAAACUCCGGAUUUUGGUGGGUAAAUAAUAUAUCUCUGAAAUAAAUAAAAUAAAUAAAAAUAAAAUCCUUCGAAUAUUGUCAUUUGAAAAAACAUCAGAAAUGCUGGUAUGUUGCUAUUUUAAAACACAUACUUUAAAAUCUAGUUAGAUGUGCCUUAGAAGAUCCUUAUUUUGUUUGGAGUAAAGCUCUGGAGGAAAGCUCACGCGAUGACUCUUUAAAUAAAGAUAGCAAGUUGCAGCUCAAUGAGAGUGAAAAGAAAUCUUGAUGUAAAGUGUUUUGUUCCCUACACCCAUUAAAGAGAAGGAGUAAGCUAGGCUAAAAUGUUUGUGGGUAUAUCAUGUUAUUCCUGGAACUGAAUGCUCUGUUGGAUAGAAUCCUAUUCUUAAGCAGUGAUUAAUUAAUGUUUAUAAAUCACUUCAAAGAUGGAAAGCAUUGUAUAAAGUCUAAUCAUUUCUAUUAUAGUGAUUUUUUUCCAAGAAGUAUAUUGACUUUUUGCAAUAGCAGUUUGAAAAAGCAUGCAUUUGUGACUGAGGCCAGGUAUCAUGCCUGGAGGAAAAUAGUAAUUGGAAAGUUUGAAAGGUAAUAAUUCUGAGAUACUGAAAAUUUAGGUGAAUUUAUAAUAGCAGACUAUUAUAAAUUAGUCCAGUCUGCAUGGACUAAAUAAUUUUAAUUCAAACGUGAAGUAAUCUACAUCUAUUCAUGACAGUUUUCAGCCUGUGAAAUAAAUGUCAUAGCAACAGACUGUGUUCCUGAAAUGAUAUAUACCUGUAACAAACCUCAGGUAAUCUCAGGGGCUUUCAUAGUAACAAUAAUGAGUUUAGGGAACUUUUAUUACCUGUAACUGCAGUAGUUAUAAAACCCCCCAAAACUAAAACUAACUUGGAACAGAUUCAUUUUAGCCUAUUUUUGUUGACAGAAAGCGUAAUUAGAUAUAUUACUGGCCUUUUUUCCUUAUCUGUGUAAAAGUGAAAAUGUUGUAAUUUAGGCAUCAAAAUUACUGUUGUAUUUAGACUUGCAAACAUACUGAGAUAUUUUCAUCUUCUAAAUUC
rnacentral:lncRNA from 1 species